CAGCUCUACUCUGUGAAUUUUGUAUUUUUUCUUUUAUUUAUUCAUCAUCUCAACAGACAUGUUUUGCGAAUAUACUACAUGCAAAUUACUACAUUGGGUGCUAGGAAAAGAACUGUGAACAAGGGAAGAGGCCAUGUGAGGACACAGUGAGAAGGCAGCCAUAUACAAGCCUGGAAGAGAGGCUUCACCAGAAAUCAACCCAGAUGGCACCUUGAUCUUAGACUUCUAGCUUCCUGAACUCUUCCCGAAGACCAGUCCUCAUGAAGAAAGUGAGGGAAUACUCAUCCUUACUUCCCUCCCACUUCUGUCAGAGGGAACAAUAUUUCCCAAAGUGUGGAAUUCAGACUAGUGCUGAAUAUGUAAGCUGAGAGCAUCCUGACCGAUAAGAGUGGUUAAACUGGUUUCUUCAGUCAGUGAGGAGGGAAUUGGCUCCUGGCUCCACCACAGGAAUUAUAUGCCCUCUUCAAAGCUGCUUCCUCCUCUGAGACGCAGGUUACGCAGUCAACAGUUUUGACAGCUACAAAGGGACCCAGAGCAGACUUUUCUCCUUUGCCUGAACUCUCCAAGGAUCCAGAGCCUAGGUACCAGCAGAGGAUUCUUGGGCCCAUCUGCCACCUCAGAGAGUCCGGAUGAAUUUGGAAAACCUUCCCUCUUACGCUAACUAUGACCUUCAACAAGCUGAUAAAGUAUACCUUUGUAAACGAAGAUGAAACAUUUAUCUUUUUCUCUCUACCUGAUCCCUCCAGAAUUUGGCUUCUCCAGUUGGCUCCCCUGUGGACUUGAUGGCUUAUUUUGACCAGAUUACAACUAGUUAUACUGUUAAACUGUUACACUGUUUUAGUUUGUUCUCGGCAUUUUCAAAUUACUUAUGCCUUGUGCCUCUCUCUGCUGCACUAUCAGUUUAUUAAUGUUACUAGCUGUAUUACUUAUGUCCUGUCUGUUUUAUGAGAUUGUUAUCUCUUACAUUACCAAAGUGUAACCAAGCCUCCAGCAAAAUUAAUGACAUCUCGAGUUAGUUGAUCAUGUACAUAACUCUACAUAGAAUAAUUGUAGUAGUGCAAUUCUAGAUCUGGGAAGAAGCAACGAGGGAAAACAUUUCCUGGAUCACAACAGACUAAUAAGACAGGUGAUCCAGAGAAUUUUAGAUUAUCAACAGGGUCUAAUCCACAACAAAUCAGCACAUUGAGUGGCCUAGCAACAGAAUCUUCCCGUGAUCAAGGGAUGAGCCUUCCUAGCCCUGAGGGACAAAAUUGGUCAUGAAAUGCCUCCCAAAUACUGGUUGAAUUUAUGGCCAAGAGGAAGCACUGUGAGCAAAGACUGUCACCUGCCGUAUCAGUAAACAAGCCAUGAAGCCAUCAACCUCUGCAGCCCCCACCAAUGGUGCAGCCUGAGGGGAUUCAGAAUGGAGAAAAACACGAUACUGGCCCUAGACAGUUAAGGUGCAUAUUAAAGGAAUGAUUUCAAUGAGCCAAGGGCCUUGCAUCUUCCCAUACAUAGAAAAGCACUAAAUUCAUUAACUGUAGAUGUCUGUUUUUUCAUUAAUUAGCAGCAAUCUUGUGAUGUUCGACUUCCUGAUUUUAUUUUUGCAAAAACUCCUACGUAUUCCUGGCUCCUCCCUUACCUCUUUGGAACACUCUCUCAGAGCUAUCUGAGAGGCUGUCUCCUGGGCUGAGGUCCUCAGUAUGUCUGCUGAAUAAAACAUAGUUCUCAA